UAAUAAAGCCGAAUCUACUACAUAGUACGGGGGACGAUUUACAUACUUGGGGUGAAUGGAUGAAAGAUCCUAGAGUACCUUCUACUCAAACCCGUCAACUAACCUCGGAGGCUAAUGGAG
rnacentral:sRNA from 1 species